UUUCCAGACUCCUACGGGAGGCAGCAGUGGGGAAUAUUGCGCAAUGGGGGCAACCCUGACGCAGCAACGCCGCGUGAUUGAAGAAGGCCUUCGGGUUGUAAAGAUCUUUAAUCAGGGACGAAAAAUGACGGUACCUGAAGAAUAAGCCCCGGCUAACUACGUGCCAGCAGCCGCGGUAAUACGUAGGGGGCAAGCGUUAUCCGGAUUUACUGGGUGUAAAGGGAGCGUAGACGGCAGCGCAAGUCUGAAGUGAAAUCCCAUGGCUUAACCGUGGAACUGCUUUGGAAACUGUGCAGCUGGAGUGCAGGAGAGGUAAGCGGAAUUCCUAGUGUAGCGGUGAAAUGCGUAGAUAUUAGGAGGAACACCAGUGGCAAAGGCGGCUUACUGGACUGUAACUGACGUUGAGGCUCGAAAGCGUGGGGAGCAAACAGGAUUAGAUACCCCUGUAC
rnacentral:rRNA from 1 species